rnacentral:rRNA from 1 species
CCUACGGGAGGCAGCAGUAAGGAAUAUUGGACAAUGCCCGCAAGGGUGAUCCAGCCAUGCCGCGUGCAGGAAGAAGGCGCUAUGCGUCGUAAACUGCUUUUACACCGGAGAAAACCUCCCCUCGUGAGGGGAGCUGAUAGUAUGGUGAGAAUAAGCAUCGGCUAACUUCGUGCCAGCAGCCGCGGUAAGACGAAGGAUGCAAGCGUUAUCCGGAUUCAUUGGGUUUAAAGGGAACGUAGGCGGCCCUGUAAGUCAGUGGUGAAAUCUCUCGGCUUAACCGAGAAAUUGCCAUUGAUACUGCAGGGCUUGAGUACAGUUGCUGUGGGCGGAAUAUGACAUGUAGUGGUGAAAUACAUAGAGAUGUCAUAGAACCACCGAUUGCGAAGGCAGCUCACAAACUGUAACUGACGCUGAGGCUACGAAAGUGCGGGAGUACAACAAGAUAGAUACCUACGUACGUACGCACUAGUAACGUAUAGUAUUACUACGUCUGCGUGGGUAGGUUAACGUUUACUAGU